GAUGAACGCUGGCGGCGUGCCUAAUACAUGCAAGUCGAGCGAACGGACGAGAAGCUUGCUUCUCUGAUGUUAGCGGCGGACGGGUGAGUAACACGUGGAUAACCUACCUAUAAGACUGGGAUAACUUCGGGAAACCGGAGCUAAUACCGGAUAAUAUUUUGAACCGCAUGGUUCAAAAGUGAAAGACGGUCUUGCUGUCACUUAUAGAUGGAUUCGCGCUGCAUUAGCUAGUUGGUAAGGUAACGGCUUACCAAGGCAACGAUGCAUAGCCGACCUGAGAGGGUGAUCGGCCACACUGGAACUGAGACACGGUCCAGACGCCUACGGGAGGCAGCAGUAGGGAAUCUUCCGCAAUGGGCGAAAGCCUGACGGAGCAACGCCGCGUGAGUGAUGAAGGUCUUCGGAUCGUAAAACUCUGUUAUUAGGGAAGAACAUAUGUGUAAGUAACUGUGCACAGCUUGACGGUACCUAAUCAGAAAGCCACGGCUAACUACGUG
rnacentral:rRNA from 1 species